AAAAAGAAAAGAAGUACUUCACGCGCGCUCAACGCAAGAAGUUUACUAUUUACAGCAUGACGUGCUGGUAGGUGUCAUCACUGUUUCAGCUAAAAGCAUACUCAAUUUCAUGUUUUCUGCUGAUAAAUCUGAGAUAACAACACACUCAUGAUCUGAUUACUUUUCUGUUUGAUCUCUUUGAUCGUGUCGCGUAUUAUUAUAAGGACGCAGAAACUUCACGCCCACAAAACGACUUCUUAUCCAAUGUUGCGUUUGUGAACACAUUAUUUGAUCAUUUCGUGUCGGGUGUUUUUUUUUCCACCCCCGUGUAAAGAACGCGUGGGAAGUUGCAGGAUGAUUCGUUGCACCUUACUAGGAAGUGAAGCACUUUGCACGGGAAGGGGAGGGACUCCGGGAAAUAAGUUCAGUGGCCACGUCUAAGAGCGCGUACUAAAUAGUAUGGGCAAAAAAAGUACGCUACUGAGCAGCGUGCACACUUGCCUGGUGUAAUACGCAAGUAUGCAAGGUUGCUUGUUAAUUAGGCUGCUUAUUCAACUGCAAUACAUGCAUAAAGUAAGUGACGUCUUCCUUGCAUUAGCCUAUAAAGUGAAGACUGGUAAUAACGCGUUAUAACUGAGCAGCACUUUGCUCCUCUGAACUAAAGGCGAACUUUUUUUUUUGGUCGUCGUCGUAGACUCAUCACAUAGUCUUUUUGAAGUCAAUGGUAGAGCUGGGUUUGAUGUUUUAAGUGAUUUUUUAGGAGGGGUGGCCUUGAAAGCGUCUGGCGGACGAUGCACCUUCCUUCCAGCGGAUUUUUAAAUAGUCUUCCUUGCGGCGGCUGCCGGGAGCGCGCGUGCUUUGCUGACACACACACACACACACACACACACACAGAGGAAGAUGCUGCUAGCGAUCGUAUUCACGCGAGCACCGGAGUCAUCUAUAAGGUGAUGACAUCAUCGUCGAGAACGGACAUAGUGGCGACUGAAAAAGGUCAGAGGUCCUCAUGCUUAUGUGAUGGUUGUUACUUAAUAGACACUUUUAUUCUAUAGCUGCUUUUAGUAUGCUUAAUAAACGCUGCUUUUAGUAUUUGUGUAAACUCUUGGAUUAUCUCGUCAGCUUUUCGCUGCACAGAAUGUUAUAUUAGACGUGUAUAUGUGAAGUGCAAUAACAGAUUAUGGAGCUUUAUAUAUUAGGCUCAAUUUCUGAUAUUGCAUUAUAGCAAUUAUCAUCAUCAUCAUCAUCACUUCAGUACAAACGUAUAUCAAUAUAUAUUUUUUAAAACACUUAAUUUCACCGUUACUGAAAGGCAUCGACUUACAUCCAACCGCUUCAAUGUGCUAGCGUUUUAUAGAGAACUCAUUAUUUACAAUGUUAGUACAACUGUGUGAGACUCACAAGUGCAAAAAAACAACAUUUACUCUCAGGCUAAGUCUUAAAAAAAAAGAUCAGGAUCAGUGAUAGUGUGUUUAGCGUGAUGUGUACUCAGAGAUUUGUGAAUAAUCUUUGUACUAAGGAAGCAUUUGGGACACGGAACUACUAGCUACAGUAAUAACAUAUUACCUAUUUAGUAGAGAUGGAACUAUGCCGCUUUUUCCACUUUUCUCUUUUAACCCACCGAUUUUAUGAAACUUGAGAUUUUCUGAAACCAGCCUUAAGUUCACAUAAAACUCAUUUGCAUUUUAAACCCAAUCCAUAUAAGAAAGUGUAAAUAUAACAAAACUAAUCCCAACCAUAUCUCUCUACAAGUAAAACAUUUUCACUUUCAAUUAACUCAAUUCCGGCCAUUUGUGACCGAAUCUGCUGUAUUUUCUUUACCACUUUUUGCUAGUAUAUAUUUUAGUAAUCAUUCAAAUGACGUGUAUCAUGUGUAUUAAUUAUAUAUUUUUUUUACAAAUACGAACCAGAUUUCCUUAGCAAAGCCGCACUAAAAAAGCAGUAGAGUUUUAGACCUGCGUGGUUUAUAGCAUUACUACAUACAGUAGGUAUUUCAUUUGUUUUAAUAACCUUGGCUGGAACAUGGAAUUAAAUAUUGAACAUUUCAUAAAUAUUUAAUGAUGAUGUAGUUGAUGUAAGCAAAUAAAAGACAGAAAAAAAAAAAAACAGGCAGUGGUAUUUAUUCAUUAGUAUACUAGAGCAUAAUAAUUCUGCUUCAUCGUAGUUCAUAAGCCGCUACAUCCAGGUAUUAUUACACGUUAAUAACAACAGUCUGGGUCACCUGGGACAGAAGUCUCACCUAUCACACUUGAUUCAUGCACUUUUUUGAAAAAAGUUAUUCUAUAAUUUAGGAACUUCAAUCAAAGGUGGGCCAAAUGAGUUUCAUCGUCUCAUUGACAGGCUGAAUCUAAGGUUAUGUGAUAAAAAAAAUAAAAAAAAAUAAAACAAUAAAGAGCAGCCUUAUGACGUGUAGUGAGGACGAGCUGAGAAUCCAUCAGAUAAGGGAGCAUAAUUAAAAUGUCAGCCUGCUCAGAAGAACGAGUCAGUGUGUGACCCAUCACAGCUUUACAUAACUCAUUUCUCCUGUAGUUUAACUAAGUGCUGAUGAAGAAACUCACACAACGUCCUUCCAGCAUGACACUUUAACCUUUUCAGGAAGCGCAGAAACGGUUAACAUGUGGAUGGAUAUGCUGAAAUGCUAUGCUAUCAUAUUUGAAAUGAUGUUAAUCCAGACUCUCCAAAGGUAAAAGAGUUGUGUAUUGUGUAUCUGUGCUAUAGGUAAUGUUGUAACGAUUCUGUGGACCCGAGGCACUUUGGCCUGUUUACUAGUGUAUUACUUGCUUAGGGAAUAAAUCUCACUAUUCACAGUCGA